UCAGACGAUGCGUCAUGCAUAUCAAUAAGCGGAGGAAAAGAAACUAACAAGGAUUCCCUCAGUAACGGCGAGUGAAGCGGGAAGAGCUCAAAUUUGAAAUCUUAAAGGGUUUCCCUUUACGAAUUGUAGUUUAAAGAAGUGUUUUCUGUUGAAGGUUUUGGUAAAAGUUCUUUGGAAUAGGACAUCAUAGAGGGUGAGAAUCCCGUAUUUGACCUUUACUUUCAACUUUGUGAUACACUUUCAAAGAGUCGGAUUGUUUGGGAAUGCAGUCCAAAAUGGGUGGUAAAUUUCAUCUAAAGCUAAAUAUUGGCGAGAGACCGAUAGCGAACAAGUACCGUGAGGGAAAGAUGAAAAGAACUUUGAAAAGAGAGUUAAAUAGUACGUGAAAUUGUCAAAAGGGAAGCGUUUAACACCAGUGUUGCUUUCUGAAAAUCAACCUCUGUUAGCUUUAUGCAUGUUUGUUUAGACCUAAUCAGCUAUCUUGCAUGUUCUAUUGUUUGCAGUGGUGCACUUUUCAGUUUACAGGUCAACAUCAGUUUUUUUUACCGUAAAAAAGUUAAAGAAAGGUAGCUCAUGGCUCCGGUCGUGAGUGUUAUAGUCUUUUUCCUAUGCGGUAGGAGAGACUGAGGUCUGCAGUGUAGGCUAUUUGGCUAGAUACUCAGGUGCUAUGUGAUACCAUUUCAUAAACAACUUGUUGAUUAUGUUUUGUCUAUUGCAUACUCGCUUGUACUAUCAUACCUACGCUUAGGAUGUUGACUGAUAUGUAGUCGUA
rnacentral:rRNA from 1 species